AUCGCUUCUCGGCCUUUUGGCUAAGAUCAAGUGUAGUAUCUGUUCUUAUCAGUUUAAUAUCUGAUACUACCACAUUGUGGUACCUUAUAUUAAAUUGAUUUUUGGGACAGGGAGAUGGAAUAGGGGCUUGCUCCGUCCACUCCGCGCAUCAACCCGGUAUUGCAGUACCUCCGGGAAUGGUGCACCUCCC
rnacentral:snRNA from 1 species